GACAGAGGCCCCGAGCGUUAGUCGGAAUUACUGGGCUUAAAGGGUGCGUAGGCGGGCGUGUAAGUGUCUUGUGAAAGCCCCGGGCUCAACCCGGGAACCGCAGGGCAUACUGCACGUCUCGAAGUAGCUAGAGGCCGGUGGAACGAUCGGUGGAGCGGUGGAAUGCGUAGAGAUCGAUCGGAACGCCAAGGGUGAAGACAACCGGCUGGGGCUUACUUGACGCUGAGGCACGAAAGCGUGGGGAUCAAACAGG
rnacentral:rRNA from 1 species